GUUUAUUUUCACAAUACUUCAAGGCCUAAGGAAACAUUUUUAAUGAAUUGCUUAACAAAUGAGUAUUAAUAUAACAUCCCAUAUAUGAUAUACUACUAAUUUGUGUAUGAGUAUGCUAACUGAUGGGCAAACUGAGUGAAUCAAUUCAGAAGAUAUAAAUUUUUCCUCAAGUGCAAAUAACCUCUAUCCCUUUUGAGAUUCAAACAAUAAAAAUUGUGCAAAAUAAAACAAAAACGGAAUAAACUAUAAAAAUCACACAUGAAACGAAAUUUCCCAUGAUUAGUUUAGCCAUACUUUUAAAUAUAUCAAAGUCUGCUGUUUCAUUAAUCUUUUCCUGAAAUACACAUCUUGCCAAGAUAUAUAUAUACAUUUCAAGGCAGUGACUCCUCUUGGCUAUCCUCAUCGUAUAACUCUUGGUUCUCAAACUCCAUAGAGUUGAACUCAUUUUGGUUCUCAGAAUUUCCAUAAUAACCUUGAUUUUGAGUACUUACCUUCCUUGGCGCAUACAUAUUAGCAGGAUAAUAAGAAUUAUCAUUCUUCACAUUAUAAUAGUACUUGCCACCUUCCAUAAAUCUUGUAUCGCUCAUUCCUUGUCGCUGAUCAGUCAAGUAGCCAUUGUUAACGUUGUAGUUGCUGGUGUAGCUAUUCCUGUUGUUCUGAUUAUAUCCUUUCUCAUAGCUACCGCUAGCAAGCUCAUAUCCAUUGUUAUUGUACCUUCCAGUGUAGCCAUUGUAAUUGUUUUGAUUUCCUGUCUCAUGGCUUUCGCUAGCAAGCUUGUAGCCAUUAUUGUAGUUGUAAUUUCCAUUGUUGUUGUUGAAGUUGCUAGUUUGAAUUGCGUUCUCAUACGUUUCGCCAUCAAAUUCUUCAUUCAAGAGCUCAUUUUCGGUUGUAGUCUCCUUUGUUGGAGGAAAAAGGCCAGAACCAUGACCAUAGAGGCCAUGAUCACCAAUUUCACUCAGAGUGUAGAUUGCUUCUGGUGCUGGUGCUGGUGCUGUUGUUGGUGUUUGGGCUAAUGCUACAGCUGGGGUUGGCGCAGGUGCUUCAAUGGGAGAAAGAUUACUCUCUUUAGCAUUGUUUGUGAUGCUAUAAUGGGUAAACUUACUAAAGAACUUGCUCUCUCUAGCAUGGAUUAGACUAGAGGAGAAGAGAACUAGAAGGAAGUAGAAAAACAAAUGUUUACCAAAAGAAGCCAUAGAUUGGGGAUGAGAAUUGAGAAAUGAAAUAAAAAUUUUUGCUGAGAAU
rnacentral:misc_RNA from 1 species